GACGAACGCUGGCGGCGUGCCUAAUACAUGCAAGUCGAGCGCAGGAAACUGACGGAACUCUUCGGAGGGAAGGCAGCGGAAUGAGCGGCGGACGGGUGAGUAACACGUAAGGAACCUGCCUCAAGGAUUGGGAUAACUCCGAGAAAUCGGAGCUAAUACCGGAUAGUUCAACGGACCGCAUGGUCCGCUGAUGAAAGGCGCUCCGGCGUCACCUUGAGAUGGCCUUGCGGUGCAUUAGCUAGUUGGUGGGGUAACGGCCCACCAAGGCGACGAGGCAUAGCCGACCUGAGAGGGUGAUCGGCCACACUGGGACUGAGACACGGCCCAGACUCCUACGGGAGGCAGCAGUAGGGAAUCUUCCACAAUGGACGAAAGUCUGAUGGAGCAACGCCGCGUGAGUGAUGAAGGUUUUCGGAUCGUAAAACUCUGUUGUAAGGGAAGAACACGUACGAGAGGAAAUGCUCGUACCUUGACGGUACCUUACGAGAAAGCCACGGCUAACUACGUGCCAGCAGCCGCAGUAA
rnacentral:rRNA from 1 species